GACGAACGCUGGCGGCGUGCUUAACACAUGCAAGUCGAACGAAGAGCGAUGGAAGCUUGCUUCUAUCAAUCUUAGUGGCGAACGGGUGAGUAACGCGUAAUCAACCUGCCCUUCAGAGGGGGACAACAGUUGGAAACGACUGCUAAUACCGCAUACGAUCUAAUCUCGGCAUCGAGGAUAGAUGAAAGGUGGCCUCUACAUGUAAGCUAUCACUGAAGGAGGGGAGUGCGUCUGAUUAGCUAGUUGGAGGGGUAACGGCCCACCAAGGCGAUGAUCAGUAGCCGGUCUGAGAGGAUGAACGGCCCAAUUGGGACUGAGACACGGCCCAGACUCCUACGGGAGGCAGCAGUGGGGAAUCUUCCGCAAUGGACGAAAGUCUGACGGAGCAACGCCGCGUGAGUGAUGACGGCCUUCGGGUUGUAAAGCUCUGUUAAUCGGGACGAAAGGCCUUCUUGCGAAUAGUGAGAAGGAUUGACGGUACCGGAAUAGAAAGCCACGGCUAACUACGUG
rnacentral:rRNA from 1 species